UGGGGAAUAUUGGACAAUGGGCGAAAGCCUGAUCCAGCCAUGCCGCGUGUGUGAAGAAGGUCUUCGGAUUGUAAAGCACUUUAAGUUGGGAGGAAGGGCAGUAACCUAAUACGUUUCUGUCUUGACGUUACCGACAGAAUAAUCACCGGCUAACUCUGUGCCAGCAGCCGCGGUAAUACAGAGGGUGCAAGCGUUAAUCGGAAUUACUGGGCGUAAAGCGCGCGUAGGUGGUUUGUUAAGUUGGAUGUGAAAUCCCCGGGCUCAACCUGGGAACUGCAUUCAAAACUGACAAGCUAGAGUAUGGUAGAGGGUGGUGGAAUUUCCUGUGUAGCGGUGAAAUGCGUAGAUAUAGGAAGGAACACCAGUGGCGAAAGCGGCUCACUGGACCGUCACUGACGCUGAGGUGCGAAAGCUAGGGUAGCAAACGGGAUUAGAUACCCAGUAGUCCCUGAGCGGGCUGGCAAGGCGCAU
rnacentral:rRNA from 1 species